rnacentral:rRNA from 1 species
GACGAACGCUGGCGGCGUGCUUAACACAUGCAAGUCGAACGGAAAGGCCCUGCUUUUGUGGGGUGCUCGAGUGGCGAACGGGUGAGUAACACGUGAGUAACCUGCCCUUGACUUUGGGAUAACUUCAGGAAACUGGGGCUAAUACCGGAUAGGAGCUCCUGCUGCAUGGUGGGGGUUGGAAAGUUUCGGCGGUUGGGGAUGGACUCGCGGCUUAUCAGCUUGUUGGUGGGGUAGUGGCUUACCAAGGCUUUGACGGGUAGCCGGCCUGAGAGGGUGACCGGCCACAUUGGGACUGAGAGACGGCCCAGAAUCCUACGGGAGGCAGAAGUGGGGAAUAUUGCACAAUGGGCGGAAGCCUGAUGCAGCAACGCCGCGUGCGGGAUGACGGCCUUCGGGUUGUAAACAGCUUUCGCCUGUGACGAAGAGUGAGUGACGGUAAUGGGUAAAGAAGCACCGGCUAACUACGUG